rnacentral:rRNA from 1 species
UACGUAGGUGGCAAGCGUUAUCCGGAUUCACUGGGUGUAAAGGGCGUGUAGGCGGGACUGCAAGUCAGAUGUGAAAACCACGGGCUCAACCUGUGGCCUGCAUUUGAAACUGUAGUUCUUGAGUACUGGAGAGGCAGACGGAAUUCCUAGUGUAGCGGUGAAAUGCGUAGAUAUUAGGAGGAACACCAGUGGCGAAGGCGGUCUGCUGGACAGCAACUGACGCUGAGGCGCGAAAGCGUGGGGAGCAAACAGG